rnacentral:ncRNA from 1 species
CAACUGAAUAGGCAAACCUAUGGAAAUGUAGGGACGCAAAGCUACAGGGACUAAAGUUUCAAGUUUUAUGACAAUGUCAGCCAGUUGCCAAA